UACGAAGGGGACUAGCGUUGUUCGGAAUCACUGGGCGUAAAGCGCACGCAGGCGGACGCGCGCGUGGGGUGUGAAAUCUGGCCGCUUAACGGCCAGGCACCAUCCCAUACGGCGCGUCUGGAGUGAUGCAGAGGUCGAUGGAAUUGCCGGUGUAGUGGUGAAAUGCGUAGAGAUCGGCAGGAACACCCAGGGGGAAACCAGUCGACUGGGCAUCUACUGACGCUGAGGUGCGAGAGCGUGGGGAGCGAACCGG
rnacentral:rRNA from 1 species